GAUCAUCAUUAAAACAACAAAACCGUAUCCAGAUCGCCUUUGCCUUGUUUUACCUUUUGAUUUCCAUGAAUUGAAAAACAAAAUUCCACUUUAAGAAGAAACAUGACUUAAAACGUCCAAAAUGUGCAAAAUAGUCAGUUCCAGCUCUUCUGUAAAUUCUUACAACUUGGAGUCCAAAGAGAAGCAGCGUUUCUACGGCCCUGUAAUUAUCCAGCCCUGGGGACAGUCUGUCCUCGCUGGCAUUCGGAGUUCACUUCAGCUGCAAUAAUACAGACAAUGAAUGUAGCCCCGGCCACCUCUUUCAUUUUAAUGAAAUCCACACUUCUGGUAUAAAAAUCAAAAAGCAAGACUCAAAGAUGCUCAGAAUCAUCAUGUUUUUCCUAAAGGCAACCACGGGGUCCUGCAUGUGGACUCGCGCUGUGUGCACAUGCUUACGUGGGCGUGCUAACGCGUGCGCACUCGUGUGCAGCUGUGUGUGUACGUGCUUGUUCCCAAUCGAAUGGAAGGAUGUUACCACCAGUGUGCUGUCAGCAGACAAAAUAAAGCCCAGGACAGCAACCGUGCUCACAGAAAUCCUGGAACUGCCACAUCAAGUCUUCGGUGUUCAGGCUGACAAAUGUCUCUGGGUUGGAGGAGCCGGCUGGCUGGCACUGCCUUGUGACCCCAUGCCAUGCCGCCGUAGCCGAGGGUGCACAGGUGAGGCCAUCAGGUGCACAGGAGUUGCGAUGCCAGGUCAGACCCUGGAAACGCAACCAUUUCCCAACCACGAGCCUUCCUGGUAA
rnacentral:lncRNA from 1 species